GGGUGUCAUGCUGAAGCUGAGAUGCUCACCCGAUACAGUCUUCCCAAAUAAAAUUUGUAAUUUCCUGCUUGCAGUACUGUGAGAAAGUUCUGCAAGUCUCAAAUUACAAAACAUCAUU